GACGAACGCUGGCGGCGUGCCUAAUACAUGCAAGUAGGACGCAGUUGCGAACGGGUGAGUAACGCGUAGGUAACUACCUAUCAGAGGGGGAGAGCUAUUGGUAACGAUAGCUAAUACCGCCUACUAGUAGAUGGACCUGCGUUGUAUUAUCUAGUAGGUAGGGUAAUGGCCUACCUAGGCAACGAUACAUAGCCGGCCUGCGAGGGCGGUCAGCCACACGGGGACUGAGACAGGGUCCCGACUCCUACGGGAGGCAACAGUAGGGACUCUUCGGCAAUGGGGGGAACCCUGACCGUGUGACGCCGCGUGAGUGAAGAAGGUUUUCGGAUCGUAAAGCUCUGGUGUUAAGGAAGCGGUACUUAACCAGAAAGGGACGGCUAACUACGUGCCAGCCGCCGCGGUAAUAC
rnacentral:rRNA from 1 species